UACGUAGGGGGCAAGCGUUGUCCGGAUUUACUGGGCGUAAAGAGCGUGUAGGCGCCCAAGCAGGUCCGUUGUGAAAACUGGAGGCUUAACCUCCAGACGUCGACGGAAACCGCGUGGCUAGAGUCCGGAAGAGGAGAGUGGAAUUCCUGGUGUGAGCGGUGAAAUGCGCAGAAUAUCAGGAAGACACCAAUGGCGAAGGCAGCUCUCGCGGG
rnacentral:rRNA from 1 species